GGCAUGUUAUUAAGUAUUUUGAACAGAAAAAGUUGGGUUGGGCAUAUUUAUAAAUAAAUUCAAAUGCUGUGUUGACCAAUUUGUUAAUUUGUUGAUGAAUUCAUAAUGUGUGAAAUUUCUUGUUAUUCAGGACUGGUUUUUAAUAGUUUUAACGGAUGAAAUCCAGGCAUACUCUUAACAUUUUGUAAUCAUUGCCUUCCAAAUUCAUAUUCAAGUCCCUUCCACACAGCAGUAUAAAAUCCACAUUAAACUGGAUUAUAUGGCAGUGUGGACUCAGAUAAUCCAGUUAAAAGCAGAUAUUGUGGAAUAUUUGCUUUGAUAUUCUGAGUUAUAUGGCUGCGUGGAAGGGCCUCAUAGAUUUGAGGGAAGAGUGCAAUAUAAAUGAGAUGAUGACGAUUAUGAUGAUAAUGAUUUUAAAUUCAUAAAGUCUAUAUUAUAUUGUAGAAGUGGCAAUGAGAAUUGCAGGCAUCAUGUUCAACUGCUUAGGAAACUAACAAUAGUCUUGUGAAUAAUGAAUAUACUGAUUUUUUUCCCUAGUGUUAAAAUCUUUGUGAUAGAAUGAGAACUGUCCCACAUUUUAUUUAUUUAUUUAAUUAUUUACGAUACUUUUACCCUGACUUUCUCACCCCGGAGGGGACUCAAGGCUGCCUCACAGUGUGGCAAUAAUUCAAUGCCUUUAAAACAAGUGCAAAAUAGACAUUUAAAUAAUAAUAAUAAACAAUAAAAUACAACAGUUAAAACAAUAAUUCUGAAAACAGAGUGAAUCUCGUGGUCCAAUAGCAUGGUCCGGGCCGUUCCAUAGGUCAUUUCCUUGUCUUCAUAUCUCUUAUUCCACCAAAUUUCCAACGGCAUUGUCAAAAAGCCAUGUUUUAAUUUUCUUGCAGAAGAUCAGAAGGGAGGGGGCUGAUCUAAUCUCCCUGGGGAGGGAGUUCCACAGCCGAGGGGCCACCACUGAGAAGGCCCUGCCAAUCGUGCCUGUGAAGAGGGCGGAACCGAGAGCAGGGCCUCCCCAGACGGUCUUAGACUCUGAGAUGGUUGAUAGAGGGAGACACGUUUGGACAGGUAAACUGGGCCAGAACCGUUUAGGGCUUUAUAGGCUAAAGCCAGCACUUUGAAUUGUACUCAGUAGCAAAUUGGCAGCCAGUGGAGCUGCACGCAGCUCUGGUGAACAAGCUGGCUGCGGCCCGUUGGACCAGUUGCAGCUUCUGAACAGUCUUCAAAGGCACAUGGUCUUGGGUUUCAUUCAAGGUGCUUCAAAUAGGGAAGCUUAACAACAAGAAGUUGUACUGGGAUAGCCCUUCCAUCUCUGUGAUUCUACGAUUAGAGAAGAAAGGGUAGAGAGAAUAGCUGUGUACCACACACAAUAACUUUUCAAUGUUAAUUUAUGUAAAUCAGCUCAGUAUUUGUAAGGACCUCUUCACACAGGCCUUCAGGAUUGCCACAUGUUAUGGCAAAUCAAGCAACUGCUAUUGGGGGGAUGGGGAACCCAUUGCCCCAUGUCCCAUAUGGCCCAGCUAACCUUUAAGCCAAUCCCAUGAGGGUGGGGUGGGAGCCUUGACGGCAUUGCUUCCCUCCAUUUCUUCUAGUGCAACACAGAAAGCCUUCUGUGUUGCUGCAGUGGCAGCAUACUCCUGUUCUCCAAUAGUGCAAUCUCAUCAGACUGGGCUUAUUUCAGCGGCAUACGUCGUUUCAGCCCUAGUUGACUCACAGAGUUCUUUGGAAGUUCCUUGGUGUCAUAAGCCCAGUCUGAUGAGGUUGCAAGUCUGCACUUGUAUUCAGUUGAUUAGUCCUAACCAGAGUAAACCUAUUCAAUAAACAGUUUCAUGAUUAGCCACAUGUAGGUAAAUCCCAUUGAUUUAAUUGGUCUAUUCUAGUUGGAAAUAACAAUAGCAUUGAGAUCUGAUAUCUGAUUCUUUUAAGGGCUCUCCCACAUAGAUGUAUUAAAUUCACAUUAUCUGCUUUGAACUGGAGUGUAUGACAGUGUAGACUAAGAUAAUCCAGUUCAAAUCAAAUAUUGUGGACUUUCUAUUUUGAUAACCAGGAGUAUCUGGCAGUGUAGAAGAGAGAACACUUGGUUAUAUCUUUGCUGACUAUUUUAACAACAUCCAAAAUGUUUGGAUUUAAAGAAUUGUUGGUGUUAUGGAAAUGUAGGAUAGAUAUUACCGUAUUUAGUAGUGAAAUAAAAUUUGAUAUUUACAUCUUUACCAUUUGUACAAUUUAUUUGCAUAAUGGAAUUUCUGGUUGUUUUCUCAUUCUUUGCCAUUGCUUUUGCCAUAUAAUACUUUCUAAUAUAUAUUUGAAAUAUUUCAGAGCUACUUUGAAAAUGUUAUUGAAUUCUGGCAAAUUGCUGAAAAGGGGUAUUAUAGCUAUUUGUAAAUUUCAAAUUAUAGUUAAUGAAAGGGAGAAAUAUAGGUUUCAAAAUUAAGAUUUGAAUUUUGGAUUGCAGUUAAAUUGUGCAAUCUCUCAAUCAAUGCAGACCAAAUAACCAAAAAUGAAAUUUAGAUUUAGAAAUACUACCUGGAGCAGUGGAUACUUUUAGAUCCAGGAGAUGAAGAAACAUUUGCUUUAAAACAUUUAAAGCUUAUUGUGAUCAUCAUGGAGUGAUUAUAUCAAAAGUUAGUUACUUGGAAUCUUUUGAAGGGUCUCUAAGGCAUCUCCAAAAUAGACUCUUAAAGGAAAAAGCGGAGAUGUUUCAUUUAGAUUCAGGAACUGAAAUAGCUUUAAAACUUUCCUCUCAAGACAGGUCACUUCGACCACUGGACUGCUUAUCUGAAAAUUAGGAGUCUGUGAAUUAUUAUAACCAUAGCUAAAUAAACAUGUAAGGCAACAUAUUUCAGAUAGAAAAAAUAGGAUAAAGUUCCCCACGAAGCACAGUGUGGCAUUAAUUUGCACUUUGUCCUUUCUACAAUGUUGUGAUGCUGUUUUAUAUGUAUGGAUUUAAGAUGAAAUGAACACUCUUGUGACACUUUCCAAUUGUUUUUGUCAUUAGCCAUUGACCUAUUUUAUAAAUUCAGUUUUUUUGUAUUCAUACUCCCCUCCCCAUAUGCAAAUAGGUAAUAGCAACUCCAUAUCCUUACUAGCAGCAUUUCUCUCUCUCUCUCUCUCUCUCUCUCUCUCUGAGAUUAUAAUUCAGUUAUUUCCUGAUGCAUAUUAACAGGUGUUAGAAUAAAAGUUCUCAAGAAAUGAUAAUACUACGUGUACUGAUGAAAAAACAGUUCACAACAGAAAAUGUCUACUUGCGGAUCAGUACAUGUAUCACAGUUUGCAGAAGGUGAACCAGGGGAUUAGAUAAUGCCAUACUAAUGAAAAAAAAUGAAGAGGUGCUUUUACUUGUGGAAUGAAUAAUAAGAAGUCUCAUAGACAUGGGGCAAUAUAAAAUAUUACCAUUGCACAUUUAGGAAACUGCAUUAUUUUUUAAUCAAAAUACCUAUUAAUGUAUCUUUGCGUGUGUGCAUCUAUAUAUAUAUGUGUGUGUGGGAGCAAUAAAUUUCCCAACUGACAAAAAUAUGUCUGGGCAUAUAAUAAAUAUAUGGAUAUUUUUAUAUCUUUAUAGGAUGAUAUUUAUUUUGUUUUGCAUUGCAUUUUACUCCUUUAAUAUAAGAUCGAAAACUAUAUCCCAGACACAAUGGUCAGGAUGAGUGUGGACCAGAACUUCAUGAAGAUUGAGUUGCUCUUAAUUUCUGCAUAAUAUCCAUUCCUGAAAUGGGGAAUAUUCCUUGAACCACAGCAACAAAAAGGUCUUUUUUGCAAUCUGCUUCUAGGGUGUUGAUGUCUAAUGUGAUGAACAAGAGAGGCAGAAAGCCUGGCUCUGCAUGCACAAUCCCCUGAGAGCACACAAAUGGGCUCUCUGGAUAGUGGCCUGUGUCUUUUUAUGCUAUAAUUAAAUUCCAUCAGAUCAGCCACUGCUCUCUAAUGUGAUUCUGAAAGAGGUCUAUGUCUGUCAGGCCUUUGAGGAUGUUAAAUGAGAGUGCAUCUACUUUUAGUAGUAUUGAUUUUCAACAUUUAAUAAAAAGUGAAAAUUUAAAAUGCUGCCAGUGAGUGAUACAAAAUGUUUCAGAUUAAGGACACAUUGAAAAAGAAAGAUGGGAUGUGCCAUAGAAGUAGAAAUGGAAGGGAAUUGCUGUAAUUUGUUUAAACUACAGUGCUGUGUUGAAUGAUGAGGCAUCAAAAUGGUUAUCAGAUGAUUUAAAAUUACAAAAAGGCUGUGCUAUUAAAGGAAUGCAUACAGAUUCAUUUGCAGAAAUCAUUAUGAAAUACAUCUAAAUUAGCAUGGACAUGGGAACAGCUUUGGCUAAGGUGAUAUGUGAAUAUUGGGACCCAAUAUUUAGUUCUGUUGGUCCUCUGCCAGGUACUCAAGUGCUCAGUCUGUCUCAGUAUUCCUUAGAUUAAUUUAAGCGCAGCAGCUCUUCACUUAUAGGAAAUAACUAUCCUAUAAGAAUAGUUUUACAAAGCAACGUCUUGCAGAGCAAAUCCCAUCACUAUUUCUUACCAGGGAAAAGUGAAGAAGGGUAAGCUAUCUGGCCCUUCUCCACCAUAUACCUUUCAGAUACCUUGUUGUGGAUUUAUUUUUAAAUGUUUUCCCCACUGUUUUCAGAAGAAUUGAAGUGCUCUGUGUACUUGUACAGAUCUGGUGCUGCUUUAUGGUGUAUCUGUAGAUCUUCCUCUUUUGCCAUGUUCAGCUGUCCACCAAAAUGCUUAUUUUCUUGUCCCUCUGUCUAAAAGUAGAAUUCUGAAAUAGGAAUUUUCCACAUAUUAUGUGCCCUAUGGGAUGAUAUCAUAAGGGCCAUAGGUUUGCAGGCACAGGUUGUUACGUGUUUAAGCCAGAAAAAACUCAUCAUCAACUAAACUUUUUAAAAAUAUCAUGUUAGGAAUAUAUGGAUUGGCAGCAAAGCACAAAUAUACCAAUCUGGAAGAAGAAAGGCAGCCCUGUGGACUGUACAACUUACUAGGCAAUCUGCCUACUAUCCCAUGCGAUAAAGAUCUUUGAAUGUGCCGUCGACCACAGAAUUCGCGAAAUUGUCCACCUUACUACCAACCAAUGAGGUUUCAUCUCCAGUUGUGGUACCAUUGAUGCAAUUCAUGUCACUCAAUUCUUGGUCGAGAAACAUUGGGAGAAAGGAAAGGCACUCUGUAUCACAUUCCUUGAUUUGGGGAAAGUAUUUGAUCAUGUCCCUCAUUAAGUUAUUUGGUACACUACAACAACAUGAUGUUCCAUAAGAACUGAUCAACUGGAUCGAGAUUCUGUACAGCAAUCCAAAAAGCAGAGUUCAGGCUAUUGCUGGCACAUCUUCAGAAUUCCCCAUCACUGUUGAUGUGCACCAGGGUUCAGCCCUCUCUCCCAUCCUUUUCGUUGUUGUAAUGCAGGGGUCCCCAAACUUUUUAAACAGGGGGCCAGUUCACGGUCCCUCAGACCAUUGGAGGGCCAAACUGUAGUUUUUUUAAAAAACAAACAAACUGUGAACAAAUUCCUAUGCACACUGCACACAUCUUAUUUUGAAGUAAAAAAAAAAACCAAACGAGUCUCAAUGUUAAUAAUAAUAAUAACUAUUAUAAUAAUCAUCAUCAUGAAAAUAAUAUAGACGGUUGGGCCAUGUAGUCCAACCCCCUUCUGCCUUUGUCCACUAAAAGCGCAAGCAAAGCACCCCUGACAGAUGGCCACCCAGCCUCAAUGUUAGUAAUAAUAACAAUAAAAAUAAUAUCAAGGGUUGGAAGAGACCCCUUGGGCCACUUAGUCCAGCCCUCUUCUGUCUUUGUCUGCCACAAGCAAAGCACCCUAGCAGAUGGCCACCCAGCCUCAAUGUUAGUAAUAACAAUAAGAAUAAUAUCAAGGGUUGGAAGAGACCCCUUGGGACACUUAGUCGAGCCUUCUUCUGCCUUUGUCCACCACAAGCAAAGCACCCCUGGCAGAUGGCCACCCAGCCUCAAUGUUAGUAAUAAUAACAAUAAAAAUAAUAUUAAGGGUUGGAAGAGACCCCUUGGGCCACUUAGUCCAGACCUCUUCUGCCUUUGUGCACCACAAAUUAAAUAAUAAUUAAAAUACCUUUGUAAACACAAGCAAAGCUCCAACUCCAGGCAGGCACAGGGCAAGGAAGGAGGCAGGAAAGGCUUGUGCAGGGAGAGGGAGGAGCCAGGAAUGGCUACAAACGCUUUUGCAGGGAGAGGUCAGAAAGGGCUGCAAAGGCUUGUGCAGGGAAUGGAUAGAGCGGCGGCAUGCACCUUCCUUGGGGGAGGAGGAGGAAGCCACUGCUGUGGGGGCCGGAUAGAUGCCUUCCAGGGGCCGCAUGUGGCCCGUGGGCCGUAGUUUUGGGACCCCUGUUGUAAAGGAUGCAGUUACUAGAGAUUUGCAGAAACCGGCACCUUGGACUUUGCUUUAUGCUGACAACGUAAUGCUUGCUUCUGAGGACAAGGAAGAACUUGAAUGUCAAGUGAUCGGUUGGCGCAAUUCAGUCAUUGCCUCAACAUCAAAAAGACGGGGUACCUGAUGAUCAAUGAGGAGGGGACUGGUACCAUUCAGGUGGAUCUUUCAGAUCAACGAUAACUUCGGAUGGCAACCUCUUUAAUGAAGUCACUACAUUGAUUAAUGCAACUUGGAUGAAAUGGCGCUCUGUAGUAGGUGUACUCACCGACAAGAAGAUUCUCAAUAAUAAAAAAAUCUAUCAAACUACCAUAAGGCCUGCCACAAUAUAUGGAGCCAAAUGUUUUCCAGCAACAAAGGAAGCAGAACGCUGCCUCGGUGCUAUGGAGAUGAAGAUUCUACGACUUAUAGCUGGAGUCACAUGCCUUGACCACAUCUGCAAAAAUGACAUCCGGCAACACUUUGGUAUUGCCCCAAUUGCUGACAAACUAUGAGAAUCACUCUCCGAUGUGAAGACAAGAGCCAAAGGGACGACUAAAGCAAUGCUGGCUGGACAAGUUGCACAACAAUCUGAAGACUGCGGGCAUACAUCCUAAUCAGGCACAUGACUGGGUGAAAUGGUGCCAACAAAACUGGACCGCACGAUUAAGCGGGACAAACGCUGAAGAAAAAGAUGCUACCGUAGGAAUACAGUGUUCCCUCGCUACUUCAUGCUUCACUUUUCUCUCCCUCGCUGUUUUGCGGGGGGGAAAAUAUUUAUUUAUUUAUUUAUUUAUUUAUUUCCCUCAUUGCUGCUUCUCCUCCUCAGGGCUGCCCCCUUGCUUUGUGCCUGCCAUGUUGCUUUGGCUGCCUCUGCUCCUGCAGCCAGGGAAGAAGGAACACCGCUCCGCCUGGUGAGUGAGCGAAUGAGUGAAGGAGGGUGCGUGAGAGAGUGAGAGAGUGAUGGUGGGUGGCAGCUCCAGUCGGGAACGUGGAGGACUCAGAAGAGGGGGCGGAGUCCUCCAUGAGUCUUGCCCCCUCUUCCGAGUCUUCCAUGUUUGCUGGCGUGGCCUGGCUGGAGCAGAAGCAGAAGCAGGAGCUGCCGCCGCUGCCGCUCACCCUCACUCUCUCAUCCAUCCUCCCUUGCUCGCUAGCUCACUCACCAGGCAGAGCGGUGUUACUUUCCCCAAAGGGGGUGGUGAGGCAGUCAGAGCAACAUGGCAGGCAUGGAGCAAGGGGCCCACCAGCACUGGUAGGGAAGGCUUCACUGGCUCCCCAAGGCAUGCAAGGGGGAGAAAGGCCACUUAACUAUUAAAAUAAUAUAUAAAUAUUAAAAUAAAAAUAAUGUCCCUACUUUGCAGAUUUUCACUUAUUGCAGGUGGUCCUGGAACGUAACCCCUGUGAUGAGUGAGGGAACACUUUAUAUGGAAUUAUAGAAUGUACCAGUAACUUAUAUUUCUAAAUAUACAAUAUGACCCCUUAUCCAUGGAUUCAAUAUUUAUGAUUUUACAUAUCUCUCCCAUUCCCCCUAGAAUAAUUUGUGGGCCUUUCUAAUUCCUCCAAUAUGAGUCUCUGGCAUUCCUCCUGCCUGAGCAUACCAUAAAACAGCAAAGGAGGACCUAGAAUUCAUCUACACUACAAAAUUAAUACAGUUUGACCACUUUAACCACCAUAGUUUCACAAUGAGUUUAGCCUUCUCUGCCAAAGAGUAUUGCUGUCUCCCCAAACAUCGACUCCCAGGAUUUUAUAGCAUUGAAUUGUGACAUUUUAAGUAGCCACAUCAUUCUAUAAUGUAGGUGCACCCCUAGGUAGGACCACAAACAAGUGUUUGGGUGGCUCUCUAGAUUCUUCAAUGCUUUUUUUGUGGAGGUCAUCCUGGCCCAGAUAUCGUCAAAUAUAGGGCUCACUCUUAUCUGAGAGGUAGUGGUUGUGAUCUUGAAAUGCAUCUCAUGUGGAUACAGGAGUCAUAUCGAUUUUAUUUAUGUAUAUUUUUUCUCAAAACAUACAAAUUAAUCUUAUUUAGUUAUUGGCUGUGUCACAUUCCACCAUUUAGAACAUUUAAAUAGAAUAGGUGUUUUAUUGGUAAACACAUAAUGAUUAUGAUAAUAACCAUAACAAUAAUAAUUUUAUUACUUACCAGCCUCUCAUGAUUCGAGGAGGGUUACAGAAUAAUUAAAACACAUAUACAUGGUGAAAAUACCACAAUUGGAAAAGUGAGUCUGUCUCUGUUGUAUGCUCUGCCUUCGAAGUUCCAAAUGCCUUGAUUGGGACAAAGAUUUGUUUCUCACAUUUCUCUCAGCCUGUACUUUUGGCAGAUUCUCAUGAGAACUGAUACCGCUUUCUCCAAUCUCAUGGGAACUGCUAGGAGCUUCCAAAACAACUUUCUCCAGGCCACUUUUAUCUUCCCAUGGGGUCUCCAAAUCUAUCCCAGAACCCCCUUCCUCAUCUUUUGAGCAUUCAGAAUCUGAUGAGGCUACAACAGGGGCUUUCCCCGCUCUAAGGAAUGACCCCUGACAUAUCCAUGGGUUAUAUCAAAAUUCAUAAUUUUGGCCCUCAAAUCUACCCUUGACUUAUACAUGAGGUCAACUUAUACAUGAAUUUAUACAAUAGUUCACUUAUUUUGAAAACAAUAAUUCUUAACAGAAAUUCCUUAUGUGCUUGUUUCUCUUAGGAGAAAACCCAAAGUUAAAAAAUGUGGCUUCUUGACACCUCAUUGUCUUUCCUAAAAUUUUAACUUUCGCUUGUUGAUUUUGUAUAUAUUUUCUCCACAAUAGUUGGUUACGGUCCUUAAAGUAUCUGGCAAUAUACAAAGUAUAUUGUUUUAUCAAAGCUUACUUUGAAGAAAUAGUUUUAGUUUCUCAAGAAUGUAUGAAAACAAAUUAUUUUCUUUUUAUUACCACAAUCUUUCCCCUCCUAGCUAUGGUUAGAAAGGUUUUUAAAAUGGCAUAGAACAACAGCAGGACAUAAAUCAUGGCCCAUUUUAGCCAACAUGAUAAAAAUCAGAUCCAGAUAAUAAACUCAGCUGUGCAAUGAAGGCCCAAAAAUGAGCAUUUUCAGAGCUGAUAGCAGAUAACCAAACAUGGGUGAGAAGUUCAAGGGAGAGACAGAGAACUCAGAUCAGAAAAAGAAAAUUUAGCAAAUAGCUAGCUGAUACAGUUUUCUAUAGAAACAGUAUGAUGUUAGGUGCUCUGUGGAAGAACGGUGCAUAAUUGGUCUAUGAAAAUCCAUUAAUUGUAGAGGAAAGGCAAAGGCCAGGAUGUUGAAGUGUAUAUGAAUGAAUUCAAAUAGUUCAUAGUGAAAUCCUAUAGGCAUAUUUCAGUGAGAAUUGUAGCGGAUUGAUGAUGAUAAAUGGAAGCUCUUACGUGUGCCUGCGAUCCAGAAUCACCUGUAGAACAAUAACAUGCCACACAGAUUUGCAGAACAAAAAUGCAGAAACUUUACUGAGUCCAAGAGAUCAAAAACAAUAGCACUGUAUUUACAAUGGUCCCUCUGAUCACUUACAGAAGUCCACAGUCAUAAAUAGUCCUUUCUCAGUCAGAAGACAGUCCUGGUUCUUUCCCCUCUUUUCUCAGCAGCAAAAUAGGCCUCAAAAUAGCAAGGCCUUCACCAGCAGUUCUCAGUCAGCAACUGAAAACUUGUGCAAACUGGUUCUGCAGCAGCAGAACAGAAACAGCAUCAAAUCAACGCAGGUCUUUGCAGGUUCAUCCAAUCAGCUUCAUGCACUUCAUUUUCCAGUUAACACACACAGCACAGUGCCUUUGCAAACCAUGACAAGAAUUGACAAGUCUUGGUGAAAUACUUUGUUCUUUAAUUAAUUACAGAUGCUGUGGUAGCAAGGAUGAUACAAACAAGGGAUGGAAAAAAUUGGAAGGAAAGAUAUUGCCCAUAUAGCAAGCAAAAUCUUCUUAGAGAGCAUUUUGAAACCAGGAAAACUGGGUUCUAGCAUGCAAAUUUAUUGCUUUCAUUAUAUCAGCACUAAUUGAUCACUAUAAAGAUCUGAAAGACUUUUAACUCCUCAUGUCUUUCAAAACUUUGAAAAUGUAGAACAGAUAUGAUUUGCAUCUUUUAGAAUAGAUCCUAUUACAUUAUUUUCCAGUCUGUACCCAGUGGUACUACAUUCGGAGGAGUGAGUUUAUAUCCACAAAAAUGGAUGCUAAAAUAAAAAAGUUAGUCUUGAAUAUGUUGCUACAUUUCUUCUGUUCUUUACCUCUUCCCACCCAGCAAAGACUUAAAAAACUUGUACUAGUAAGACAUUACUUAAAAUUACUUAUUGACUAAUUUAAGAACAAAGUUAGGAACAAUUAUAACAUUCUCAAGAAAACACAUGGAAAAAUUCUCAGGAAUAUGAAAAAGAUACAUUGAUCCAGAAAGCUGAUUUUGUAGGGGAAUAACUCUAGUGAAUGAAAGGAUAUAGAGGGAAGGGGAUAUAUUGGCAGAAUCAGGUAGAGAGAAUAUUCAGGAUAACAUCACAUUGCCCAACCUGAGCCACAAAGGCAAAGCCUAUGGCAAAGUGAGGCUUUGGAAGGCCCACAUGAAGGAGAUCAGAUGGGAUUUCGAGGGGAUUAGCUGAUUUCUUUCCCUUUGUUCAUGUGACAAGGGGUAGAGCAAGCCAUAAAUAGGCUCCACCCCUCACAAUGUCCUUUUAAAUGUGUGUGACCCACCCUCAUUUACUGUGAGAUUAGAACUGGUAAUGUAAAGGCCUUGUAGGAAUACCCUGCUCCCAAUGUUUAAUCUGGGAGGUUUUUCAUUUAUCCCACACUGUUUCUGUUGAAGAUGGAAAUUGGCUUUUAGGUGGAGUCAAUUAAAUACGUUGUCACUGGCAUGUUAAAAGUUUAAAUUAGAUUCAGUAGGCACCACGGUAUCGCUUUUGUAGGUGAAGGGUGGCCAUCUGAAACGGUCUCUCUACUUGGUGGGCUGGGAAAGGGGCCACCUUUGAGGCUAGAAUGGGAGUUUCUCGCUACUGUAAAACCCUAUGAUUUGGAAGAGAGCACCCCCAGGAUGGUCUUCCUGUUAAGACGGGAUGAAGUGAGCAAGGAUUGCCCCUCGGGGUUGAGGUGCUGGCACAGAGUGGUUUGUGGAAGUAGUCAUUGAAGUGACACCUGUCCCUUAACUAUAUCCAUCACCUGUCCCUUAACUCCCCCCCCCUUUUUCCUCUAGGUUACAGAAGAUAGAUAAACAAAUACAUACGUCAGAUAAUGGCCCCUUUAAAGCAUAUGUCUGUUGUCUGACCUCUAUUUUGUAUGGAGAUCCAAAAAUAUUUUAAAGCGCUGGAUCCUGCUUUCAGUGGUGUGGUUGCCUCCUGCAGAAUUCUGGGCCUUGUAGUUUAGAGUGGGACCUUUGGAAUUCUCAUCCAGAGAGGUCUCCAGCCUCCCAAACUUACAGUUCCCAGAAUUCUGCAGGCAGUAGCCACACAAUAGCAAAGCAGGAACCCCCACUUUAAAACACUAAUGUGAUAUCAUCCCUAGCUACAGAAUGGGGGGGGGGGGGGUGAGACAACAGGAAGUGAAAGGAAGUCUGCCCCUAGGAAGGAAAAUUUACUCCUGUAAGACUUAUCAUGAGGCUUUAUCACCAAUCCUUGUUCCCACAGCAGCCCAAAAUUUUAAAAAUCCAUUUGUCGCAGGAACAGAAAGUGAAGUGAAAUAAAUCUUCUCAACAGGGGCACAGACAUCCAAACAAAUAUUACAGGAGUGUUAACCCUUCCCUGUGCUAUUCAAAACUUAAAAUAUUUUGGGCUGGAGAUACAUUAAAAAAUAUGCCUGUUCCAACUUACGAUAAAGUUAAAGAACAAACCUACAGAACCUAUCUUGUUUGUAACCUGAGGACUACAUGUAAUAAGCAUAAAUGCAGGGCAAAGCCACACAAAACCAUAGAACAAAGAUUCCCUCCCCCCUUCAUGUGACAAUUUGAGUGCUCUCUUUAUGAGAAUUGUAUAGGAUAACAAGAAACACGGGGGGGGGGGGGAGCUCAGGAACAAGAGAUGAGAAGAAAAUGAUCAAGUAGCCAGUUAGAGUAUAUUUUGCAGUUAGCCAUCUGCCUGAUAUCAUAAAAAGCACUAUAAUAUACCAGCUGCUGUGUCAUGAGAAAAACCAUAGGCAUUUAUGGCAAAAAUGAAGAAUAUUAUUAUUCCUGAAGGGGUUACUCUAUGCUAACAAGCAUUUUGAGCUAGUACCAGAAAACCAAAGUAUUAGAGUUUCUUUUAGGUUGCCAAAAUUCCAGCAAAGCAUUUUUGGUUACCCAUAGAUAUAAUAGUUUCUGCCUUUUCCAUGUAGCAAAGAACAAAACAUGGGUGCAUUUACAGUACACUAGUAAAAAAAAUCAUACUCACCCUAAAUCCAGCAGUGGCAGUCUUCACAAUGCACAGAGGCUUUUGGUAAGUAUCCAGAGUUUUUCGCCCUUAGCUCAACUUGUCUCCAUACUAAUCAAAGUUGAGGGAUAAUCCAGAGUUUGCAGGAAAAUUUGGAGUAUCAUGAGGCUUUGUGGCCAGCUGGACAACUGGAUCGGGCCCAUUUUGGCUGAUCCAUUGUCCACACUCACACCGCCUCCAUCACCUUUUCCCUGACUGCACAGGGAAGGCAAUGGGUCAUCCCUGUGUCACUGCUAGUUCUCCUUGCCAGCCAUGGAUCACCCUGCAAGUGCCUUCUUAUUGUGGUCAUAUCUGCUGACGUCAGAAUCACAAAUCACCAAGAAAUGGGUUAUUCUUUCCCUGGAUUUCCCCAAUAAUAGCAAAGCAUGCCUGCUGCCUUGCUUUCAUCUUGCUUUCCAAGAUCUAUGUUACUCAAGAGUGUUUUUCUUCCUGCCUACCUGUAGAGGUAACUUCCCCCUUCUUCCCAAUAUCUUUGGGAUGGCCAAGCACUCAUAAGAAGCUCCAUGGCUGAUGAGGAGCAUGGUGACAUCACAUGGGCAAUUGUAUAGCCCAGUGGGACCAAUGUGGCCAUAGUCAAAAUAGAUCGGCUAGAUCUAUGGCCACCAUCAUGGUCGAUCUGGAGUAGUUCCGGAUUAAGCACUUUGUUUCUUGUGAUUGGAAAUGCAGUGUUAAAAUUGCAGUAAGCUGAAUUGAUAUUCUGUAGGAAAAGUAAACUAUGUUCAAUAGGAUGUACUUCCAAAUUUUAUGUUAUUAUUGUGUCGCAGACUUAAAGGGAAACAGUUAUAUGGACGGUGUUAUCCUGGUACAUCCUAUAUCUCCUGCUGUCUAAAAAGAGCUAAAAAUGAACAUCUCAGUCAUUCCAGUGUACUUAAUUAUUUAUUUACUUGCUUCUCCAUCUAAAGCAUUAAGAUGUGACAAAAAUUUAGCCACAUAUUUCAAAGUGACAGUUUAUCUACUAUUUGAUGGAUUGUGCGUACUGUGGGAUAUAAGGAAGAGUGGACAAAGUUUUUUAGCUUUCAAAACAGCUAAAAGUGCAGAAUAGUGCUAGACUGAAUUAUCUUUAUUAUUACCCUUUGUCUUCCUCUUUUUGUUGUUGUUCUUUUAUCUUAUCUUAUUGAAGCACAUGAGAAGGUAUUAAUAUGAUAUCUCUGAUGAUAGCAUAGUUAAGUGUCUUUGGCUGGAGAACAACUGGCAAAUGACAACUUCAAAGGUCAUGUGGAGCCAUGACUUCGUCAAAUACACACAAUUCCACAUGGAAAUGUGUGUUCCAUGUAAACACGUAUUUCCCUAAAUGUCAACAUACACACAGUGCUGCCAAAAAACAUGACAAUGUGAGAAAUUAGCUGCCUGAAAUAGCAAAAAUACACAAUAUAGCUUUUGAGCGAUCUUAAAAUAAUAGUGAACCAGAUAGAAUACUGUGAAUGAAGUAGUGAGCAAACAGUAUUCCCUUCUCUUAUUGUUGAUGUUGAUGUUCCAAGGCUGUUUCUAAACAUUCCUCAUUUUGAGGGUCAUGUAUCCUAUUUUUAGGUGUAAAACUCUCAGAGCAGUGUUUUCUCUGUCUUGCCAAAAUAUCACUUCUCCCUCAAAUGAAAAACAAUAUUUUGAGGAGUAAAUUUUGAAUGUAUCAUGGGGAGUCUGUUUUUAUUUUUUUUAAAAAGAAACUAUUGGAAUUUUUAAAGGAUUCCCCCCUCAAAAACCUGUAUAGAUUACCAAGGAUUUUGUAUUCUUGCCUACAUUUUAGAAAAAGGUUGUGUCUGUGGAUGUGAGUAAUAUUUACAACAUUUCUUAUUGUCAAAACCACAGCCUCUGUAAGGGUUCUCACUUCCAGUAUGACAAUGAGACAACAAGCCCUUCAAGUUUUCUGCUUUUCAUUAAGUAUUUAUAAUUUGUAAUUUGUUUUUGUACAAAACUACUGUCUUAUCUCAUUGUGAAGCAAAGGCUAUGUAGACAGCACACAACAGAAAGAUAGUCUGAUUGAUCACAAUGAAGCAAACAACACAUUUGAUGCUCCUAAUUUUUAGAGGUCGAUAAACUAGGCAGCAGCAAUUACAGUUUGUAUAUAUUUAAUGUUGUUUUUUGCAAUUUGUACCAUUUGCACCAAAAUUAUUUUUGAAAAUGUGAAAACUCUCCUGCAAAUCUCCUCUUAAGGAGGAGAUUUUUAAAAAAAUAUUAAUAUUCAAAUAAGUAUUUAUGUUGCCAAUCUGUGGAAGGGAUUUCGGCUGUGCUGGCACUUCUUUCUGUGUUGUGCUGUAACAGGUUUUCCUUAAUCAUCAAAUCAACUCUGUAUACCUUGUGCAGCACAAAUAGCAGACAGAUUCCAGGACAUAGUAAGACAUCUUGCCAUUUAAGUACUCAACUGGGUAUAACUAUUACUUUUUCAGGUGGCAGGUGAGUGGCAUAUGUUGUGAUAAAAUAAAGUAAUGGGCAGGUUGACAUUGAUACCUGGAAAGGAUGUGUAACAAAUUGUUUAGCAGUUAAUAUAUGAACAUUAAAUAAAAAUGCUGUUGCUGGUCCAAUGCAGAAAUAAAGUGACAGGAUACAAGAUUGUAGGAUGAAAAGGGUUACUUUAUUUAACCUAUUUAAACUUGUAACUGCACUGUAGUGGUAGGGAGAGCACAGGAUGUAAGGUUUCUGAAUCAGGGUCACCCCUAUAUCUCCUCUUCCUCCUUAAACAUCCCUGGGCAAAACAAUGUGCCCUAGUAGCACUCCAUGUUUGGUUGGUCCCCAGCUGCACAGGCUGAAGGACUACCCAUCUAUGAUGAUGAUGAUGGUGAUGAUGAUGAUGAUCAUCAUCAUCCAUCCAUCCAUCCAAGGACUCCCCUCCUUCACAUUUCAUAACAUAAAGUGAAACUGAACCUAGGCUAACUUGAAGAACAGUCUCUUUCCCCACCCCUGGGUCCAGCAAUCAAAAAGGACAAUUCCAGAAAAGUGUUCUUCACCAAUAGUGCCUAUCAUUUCUCAAUAGGAUCCUUCUCUUUCUCUCUCAUGCUACUUGCCAAGUAACUUCCUGUUCACCAGCAAUACCCCUGAACAGUGUCAAAACUCCCUCGAGAUUCAGAUGUCUUCUCAAAGAAAGCAGAUAAAACCUCCUGGCCAGUGCCAGAUUUAGGACAAAUGAGGCCUUGUGCUAGUUAUGUUAUAAGGCCCCUUCCUUGGGCCUUGAAGGAGGUAGGCUCGGUAGACCCACACUGCCUGCUUUAUGCCACACUCCCAUAGACUAUCAACGCUAUUGUUAUGUCUGGAAUCGCCCAAACAAAUUUGGCAGGAAGAUCCCCCCCCCCUCGCCAACAAGGCCCUGUGCUUAAGCACCCCUAAUCACAAUGGUAAAUCUGUCAUGGCCCCUGCCCACUCCUAAGAUGUCCAGCCAAAGUUUGCACUAUAUAGGAGGUUGAAGGAUGACCCAAACAAGAAACAGGAGAGGGCCACAAGGUUGUGCCCUCAUAGCUUUAUGUCAUGGCAAAUUUAAACUUGACACUUGUUUUCUUAUUGGCUUGAUUUUCUUUAUGAGCCAUCUUGGUGGAAGUGUGGAUGUGCUGUUGCAUUGUCACAAAUAUGGCUUCCUUAAAAUAAAUCAUAUCAGAUAAAUGUUAUCUAUCUUUUAUAUAUGAAGAGAGUGCUACCCCUUAAUUAGUAAAUAUUGUUGGAGAAUUAACAAUCUUGCCUCAUCGCUGUUUGAUUUUAUGACCCCCAAUCACAUUUGCAUACCCCCUUUCUCCAUGGCGUACUUGACUAAAGAACAUGCUCCAUCUCAUUCAAAGUAGAGAGUUCAAAAGUUGUUAAUUUCUUUGUUCUCACUGUCUGUUUGAAUGCUAACCUGUUAGUAUCUUUCGUGUUCGUUUGCAUGAUGCUCCAACUAAACACGUAGUAUUCCUCUCCCUUUGUUUCAUUAGAGAGGAAAAUGCUAUUUUAGUCCUCAUUUUCUAUUGGACUUAUACCUUUAUCUGGAUUUGAUCUACUUAUUCAAGUUUUGAGCCUGUGUGAUGACUUACACAAGUUUUUUGUAAGCUAAGUUCUUUAAAUCUCAUCAAUUUUGUUGAUGCUACUUGUUGUAUCCAGCCUGUGAUAGUGUCUGAUGUGUCUGAUGUCAAUGAGGUUUCUGGGCCUGGGUCUGAUUGCAGUGGGGAUGGUCAUGCUGACAGUCCUGGCUUUCAGUCUGUUGACAGGCCUGCUCUUGACAGGCUUGGUUUCGAGCUGGAGGUUUCUGCAGAACAGAGAGAGGAAAGUCAAGGCCACAUUCCCGAGAGAGGCCAGUUUUUUUGAGGAGGAUUUGUCAGAUGCAGAUGUAGAGGUUAAUGAGCUGGAAGAUAGAUGGCACAACUUUCAUAAACAAAGAGAGUUCACAGGUUCUUCGAAGGUCAGCUUGCCUUUGAGAGAAGUGGGAAGGUAAAUUAUCUAGUGGGAAAGUGAAACAGGAUGUGCUUUUCUCACUGCAGGAGAUAGGAAGGGCCUUUUAAGGGAAAGGGGAAAACGUUUUACUUCAUUGGGGUCAACGUUGGUUAUUCAUGCCAGUCAUGCCAAGUUCAUGCUCCAAGUUUCCAAAAGUGGAUGUCUAGUUUCAUGGUUCCUGUUUUUGCCAAGUUUCUGUUCUUUGGUUCCAAGUGGUUUUUAGUUCUUUGGUUCCAGUUUUGCUAAGUUCACGUUUUGACUGUUGGGAUUUUACACUGCCUUGUACUUUUGGAUUUUACAACCUUUUACCUUGUGUCUUAUCCUUGUACCUUGAAAGUUAUGGACUUAUGGUGAUAUUUUGAAGAUAACUUUUUGGACUAUACUUUUAUAUAAUUUUUAUGGCUUGGCUUUUAUAUAUUCUUCAAUAAACUGCUUGCUUGAAAUUACUCAACUGGUGUGGUGUUUUAAGGUCAGGGGGGGUUCCAGCUCGGAUAUAACACUGCUUUUAUUUUGGUCUCUAAUAUACAGUAUUUUACUAGUGCAUGUUAUUAGCUGUUGUUUUAUAAAUUGGAGGAAAUGGGGGUGCUGAAAAUUUUUAAAGCUUACUCCAUAUAAAGUUACCAUUUAAAUCUUGUGGCUCUCCUCUUACUCUGCUAAAUUAUGUCAAAUAAGAGGGUUUCUUUGAUUCAAACGGAUUAAAUACAGUCUUGGUCAAAUGGCUAGAUAUUUUUGCCUUAGGCAUAAAUUAAGUCCAUUAAUCCCAAAUAAAUAUUUUAAUAAAUAUGGAGAAUGUUUUGAGAAUCUAUAGGUAUAUUUCUUUCAGCAAGACUCUGGACAAGAUUCCCUAUGAUAUUCAUUCUAGCAGGUUGACAAAAUAUAACUGCUAACUGGAUUUUUUGUUAAUUGAUGGACUGUGCAAAAAGAAUACUUGUCAUUAGUUCCUCAUCAGCCUGGACAGAAGUGAAAAGUAGGAACUUGAAUGAGAAGCAGCAGAAGGUGCUAAGGAAAACUGUAAAGGAGAUGAAAUUGGAUGAGAUAGUCAGAAUCCUUAGAAGUCAUAAACAGGAUUCAAAAUUUUAUUGGAAAUUUGGAGAAAUGAUAAAUGUAAUAACUCACAUUUACUUGCAGAGAUAAAUACAAAUGCCUGUGUUUAAGUAGGAAGAAUGAGUUUUCACAUAUAAGAUAAGUAACGCCUGACUUGAUGUGCAUAAAUUCUAGGAUUUUCAAUGGGUAACAAUGUUAUGGAUCAUAAGGCUGAUGAAAUGUUAGAGUGCAUAAUCAGAAAUAGAGAUGACAAGAAAUAAUGAGUGCACUUUAUUUGUCACAUUUCACUGAUGGCACUUUACUAGAUCUAAGCACUGCAGUUUAAGAAAGAUAUUAAACAUUGAUGAAGCUUUUCAAAAUCCUGAAGUUUGAACCUAGGGAAAGAAGUAGCUAGAAAAUAACUAGACAGUGAAGAGAUGAUAGAAUAGUCCUCUUCAAAUAAGUGAAUAUCCAUAUUGUAGAAUUUUCCAUUCUUUUGCUCUGCUAGAAAAUCCUUGUCCUCAUCCUCAAAGGCUUCACAAGCCUCAACAUCCUCUCAGCCUGGGGACGUAGUGGGAAAGAGCCCAAGGGGCCACAUCCUGCCCAUGGGACUGGAUUUGCCCAUGCUUGCUCUAGAUUGUAGGGUCCGAAUCAAUGAAUUCAUAUUACCAAAAAUGUGGAGGAGUUCAGAAGUAUUCACAUCUUCAAAAGGCAUUAUUGGUGUUUAUGAAAGAUGUAAGAAAUUUAGUUAAAUUUAUCUUUAUUCAGGAAUCUUGAAGUUAGUUUUUUGUGCACACAAUUGUGGUUGCACGCAAAUGUUUUUCCUUUUUGGUUUCUUAACAAUUUAAUCUGUGAGUUCAAAUUAUUACCAUUCUGGAUAUAGCCAAAAAUAUACUGAUUAUAUGGUAGAUGGAAAAAGAGGAGCAUCAUACCUGGCUCUGUAAAUUACAGUUUGUUUCUUCCACAGUUUAAUAUUUAGUAGAGUUUCUUUUAUAGUUUCUUCUUCUUUUCUCUGCACUGCUAUUAAGCUGAUCCAGGCAGUCCCUGAGUUACAAACAUCCUAUUUUCAAAUGACUCAUAGUUAAGAAUGGGGUGAAACAACAGGAAAUGAGAGAAAUCUAUCUCUAGGAAGGGAAAUUCACUCUUGAAAGAAUUAUCACGGGGAAAAGGUAUCUGUACUAAAGUUUUCUCAGCAAUUCUUGUUUUCACAACAAAUUUUUCAAAAUUCAAUUAUCACAAGGAUAGAAAGUGAAGUGAAAUCUUCUGAACAGGGACACAGACAAGGAAACAAACACCACAGGGGUGUUAUCCCUUCCCUGUGCUAUCGAAAGUGUGUGUGUGUGUGUGUGUGUGUGUGUGUGUGUGUGUGUGUGUGUUAUGUAUGUAUAUUUGCAGUUAUCCUGAAAAGUAUACCUGUUCCAAUUUACAAACAAAUUCAACUUAAAAACAAACCUACAGAAUCUAUCUUGUUUAUAACUUGGGGACUUCAUGUCUUCUAUAAGAAAUGCUAUUUUAGCAGCACAUCCCUAUACUCAGGAUUUGGAAUUACAGAUGCAAUUUAACCAACCCUCGGUGAGGAAUAUGUGCAACAAGAAAAAAAAGUACUAUCAAAUUUAAUUGAUUACAUUUUGAUGGUCUGAGUUAAUUACAUUUUUAAUUUACUGCUGCAAAAGUUGAAUGUGGCACAUAUACUGACUCCUAACAUUUCAGAGCAAUUACAUUGAACCAUGGUCAACUGGUAUAGAUUUGUAGAUCUCACUCUGACAAAGAUUCUGGGCAAUAUGUGGGAAAGAUUUGCCAGCUAGUAAUGAUUAUAGCAACCAUGUACCACUUUGCCAAAUAAGUAAAUGUAGAUUGAUUUCGAUCCAUUAAUGGGGCUACACAAACUCAUAUUCUUUCCAGUAAGAUAAUUAAAUUUUGGACACUUUGUUAAAAUAAAAUUGCUAAACAUUGAAAUUGAGAAAAAACAAUCAGGUUUUGGACUGAAUUAGAGUAUUGGCUUUCCAUACUGAUUGGGCUUCAUUUCCAUCGAAAGUGGUUUACUUUCUAUUUUUUUUCCAUGCAUUUUGUUCUUGAUGAUCCGUAAUGAGAAAACUUUCUAUUCUUGACACUUUUUAGUUAUUAAAACCAACUCACUAGAUUUUCCUUGCAGUUUCAUUAAUAAUAGGUGAUGCUACUACUUUAUACUUUCUUGCUAUACAUACGAAUGUGUCUGCACACACGUACACAUUAUGCUAAAGCUCUUUGUUUGAGGUAUUCAGAGCCUGGCUCUCAGCAAUGGGGGACCCCCAUUUAUCUAUGAGAAGUUUUUAUUUCAGUAAAGGAAGCCUGCCAAGCAAUGGAGGUAGUAGUGAUUAUCUAUCUUUGCUAUUAUGCUCAAACAGUACCCCAGAUUCCUGGAAAAGUGGGGGAGAUAGUACUUCCGAGGAAGGGAGCAUUAUUGUAAAUUGCCCCAUACCUUUAUACCAUAUGGGCAAGCUCCUGCCAUUUUUUUAAAAAAACAGUAAGCCAUAUCAUACCCAAAUGUGGGUUUGUUGUUGAUUUUUAAUGUAGAGAAUAUGAAAAAAGUAGCGUAACUAAAAAUUGACUCAUGUUUCACAAAUGCAGAUAUAUGAGUGGUAGAAUUCCAUGCUGAUGGGGUAUCCAUAUACUGUAAUUACUCAAAUCUAAUGCUCACCUCUUUUUUUGGCUAAAUUAGGAUGCACAUUAGAUUUGAGCAAUAUGGUAUUCUUCAUUCUGAGCCAAAGUAGAAGGGGAAGCUACUUCAGGAGCAUCUGGCGCUCCUAUUUGAGGGAUGUCAUAUCUAAUUUAAUGGCCAUGACUCCAUGGUAUGCAAUCCUGGGAUUUAUAGUUCGAUGAGUCACCAGCAUUCUUCAGCAGAGAAAGUUCAAGAACAUAUAAAACAACAUGAUUUCAUACAAUUGAGCCAGGGCAGUUAAAGCGGAUUCAUUCUGCAGUUAGAUGCACCCCAGGGUUUUCUUUUCAAUUUCUGGAAGCUUUGGUGUUCUAACACUUUGGUUUAUAAAGAAGGAAUUCUAAGCAGGCAGCCACUGUAAUGCACACCUUUUUGGCCAAAUUACAAAGGGUGCACUUUUUGCUGCUGUGCAUUCAUUCACCAGCAAAUACACAUAUUUUUGGUUUCAGGGUUUUAAAAAUUGAGGUGCACAUUAGAUUAAAUUAGACUCGAGUAAAUAUGGGUAAAGUGAAUAAAAAUACCAAGUCCCCCAAUUAUGUGGAAUUAUUACUCCCAAAAGGGCAUGGUGCUAAUGCUAUGGGAAGAACACAUACUGUAGCCAUUAUAAAGAGUACUGCCGUGAGGUACUAAUUUUGAUAACUCACAGCAGGAAUGUCUGAAUCCAACUCCUCUCAUAAACCCAUAGGGAAAGUCCACCAUUCAUUUUUAGAGUAAUAGAUUCUGCCUCUCGCUCUCUCUGUCUUUCUCUUGCUCACUCACUGUCUUUCUCUGCCCCCUUGUGUAAUGUGUUAUUUAGUUACCUUGGGUUCCCAAUUUGAGAAAAAACCCAGAGUAUAAAUAAAUUAACAUACAGGCAAACAUCAUAAUCAACUGAAAAUGGCAGUGCUGAUCAUAAAAAUAAUUAUAUUGCCCCCAAAAUUUUCUUAAUUUAUUUCUCACUGAAAACAAAUAGUACUGAAAUUGACACAGUUCUUGUGUCCUGGUGGCGCAGUGGGUUAAACCCUUGUGCCGUAAGGACUGCUGAUUUGUAGGUUGGGUUGCUGACCUGAAGGUUUCCGGCUUGAAUCUGGGGAGAGCGCGGAUAAGCUCCCUCUGCCAGCUCCAGCUCCCCAUACUGUUUCUCAGGUUGGUCCUGAUAUGAAAAAAAAAAGUUAAACCAUAAAGUGAUUUGUUGUUGCGUGUCUUCUAGUAGUUUCUGACUUAUGGAGAACUUAAAUAAAAUGACAUAUUAUGGCAACACUUGUUCAGAGCAGGGUUGACUUUAACUUCCUCUGAGACUGAGGCCCCAUUUACCCUUUGCCAAAUAACCAUUUAACACAGUUCAUAUCUGGUAUUAAAGAAAGUGUUUUUGUUGUGCAGAUGUUUACAAAAGAAAUCCCAGAAAUCUACUUUGAGGUCCGAAGUUUAAUGCUCAAAUUACUAUAUCACACUGUCUCUCUAGGAUCACGAAAAUGAAAACUUUGUCAAGGUUUUCUAUGAGAGUUUCAAGUAAUAAUGUAACUUAAUAAGUUUUAGAGAGGUGACAUUUGUCGCUUAAAAAUAUGGAACACUAUGACAAAAGUUGCAGAAACUUUCGUUCAUGAACAUUUGGGCUCUUUCUGCAUACUGUGCUACCUAUGUAACAAAUAUCAAUUGCAGUAUAUUAUUAUUAUUAUUAUUAUUAUUUGAAACACAACAAGAGGAGUCCACAGCAGACACUCUGCUGGCUGUUGUAUUGGAUCACACUUCAGACACUUCCCAAGUGUCUAGGACUGAGUGAUGUAUCGACGAAUAAUGCGUGCAGAUCCCAGUAAGGUGGCCUUCUGCAGUUGGCAGGUGGUAAUUUUGUCAGCGCCGAUUGUGUUUAAGUGCAGGCCAAGGUCUUUAGGCACUGCACCACUGGGACCACCUUGACUAGCUUGUGCCAGAGUGUUUGCAAUUCAAUCUUUAAGUCCUCAUAUCGUGUCAGCUUUUCCAGUUGUUUAUCUUCAAUCCUGCUGUCCCCUGGGAUUGCAACAUUGACAAUCCAUACUUUGUUUUUUUAACAUAUCGUGAAGUCAGGAAUAUUGUGCUCCAAAACUGACUGUCUGAUUUCGGAAGUCCCAGAGUAGCUUGACAUGUUCAUUCUGUGUAACUUUUUCCGGUUUGUGAUCUCACCAGUUCUUUGUCACAGGCAGAUGGUAUUUGUGGCACAAGUUCCAAUGAAUCAUCUGAGCAACGGUGUUAUGCCUCUGCUUGUAGUCUGUCUAUGCGAUCUUGCAGCAGCUGAGGAUGUGAUCUAUUGUUUCAUCUGUUUCCUUGCAGAGUCUACAUUUGGGAUCCGUCAUCAACUUUUCAAUUUUGGCUUUGAUGGCAUUGGUUCUAAUGGCUUGUCCUUGGGCUGCCAGAACCAGGCCCUCCAUCUCCUUUUUCAAAGUUCCAUUUGUGAGCCACAGCCAUGUUUUUUCUUUGUCAAUUUGGCUCUCGAUUUUCCCAGGAACUGCCCAUGGAGAGCCUUCUUUUGCCAGUUUUCUCUUCUGCUCUGGAUUGUGUUUUUACGAUAUUCACUCUUGGUCUUUUGCACUUGAAGCAGUUUACUACUUUUGACUUCUCUCAAUGUUGGUUCUUGACUGCCUUUCACAUAAUCUGCCAGGGUAUGUUUCUCUUCCUCUACUAUUUCAGUUGUUAUUUCCAUCUGUUCCAUUUUGUUCUGUGAGAAUUUUCCUUCAAACUCCUUUAUCAACCCAGCGUUCUUGUUGUAGUUCUUAUUAUUUUCCCAAAGUUCUUUUCAGAACUUUGUUGUUGCAAUAUUCUCUGGCUUUAUAGUUACUGUGUCUGUUGUUUGGUUCAGACUCUGGUAGAACCGUCUUUGGUCUGAUUGAAACAGUUGAUUUUGUCUGUACUGGAUGAUUCUGGCUUCAUAUCUUUCAAUUUUUCUGGCUAUUGCUGUAAUUUGUUCUUUCACAAUUUCCAAAGCUUCUUCAAUUUUUCUGGUGUUCAACCAGUACUUUCUGAUCAGGUAUUGCUUGAUUUUGUCAUUCUUCAGUUUCUUCUCUUUCAUAUUUUUCAGGUUACUUGCAUCUGAUCUGAGUUUCUUGAUUGUCAACUCUAGCCUGACCUUCCACUUUGGUUUUCCAGUCGAUUUUCUUUGGGGCUGCCUUAGUUGUAGGAGCCCAAGCUCUUCUGUUACUAUCACUGCUGCACUGUAGGCAUACUGGUUUGUUUGUUCAAAUGAUGUUAUUUGGACAGUGGAGAGUACUGCAUUCACAUCUUUCAUGAGAGGCGCCAGGUGUUUCUUGGGCACUGUUUUUAGAGUUGGGAGCCACUGUCUUAUUGCAUUUGCUGCAGCAUGAGCCAUGAUCUUAUUCUUGAGCUCUUGUUGUCUUGCUGUCAAGGUUCCUGGUGGUUCAACAGGUGUUUCAAGUGCUGGUUCAUCAAAUUCUUGCAAAAGCUCCACACAUUCUUCUGGUUCAACCUGUUCCACCAUUCCAAGUGUUGCUGGAAUCUUUGCUGCUGUCUAUGCUGUGGUCUGAUGGUAAUUUGCUUUGCAGAUUUUCUGGAUUUCUUUGAGUUCAACUUCACUGAACACUUUGUUUCUGAUUAUGAAUCUUCGUUGGUCAGCCAGUCGGGAUUCUGUUAUCUGUGAGUCAGGGUACUCUUGUUUCCAUAGCUGAUGCAUCCUUUUUUGGUAGCCGCGCUUUUCAGGUUCAGAAUUGUAAUAGCAUUUCAUACCUGUGCGGUUUUCUUGCAUUGUAUAUUUCUGCUGCUUCUGUGACUGUUCAUUUGGGUUUUGAUGAUUCUGUAGCCCACUUGUCGAUGGAUGUCCAGAAUCAGCAGCAUCCACCGCGGUCCUUUUUAUCCUGGGCGACGACCAAGCCAGUAUAGACUUCGUUUUGGUUUGAUUCUCCAUAAUGCUAAUGGAUUAGGUGCUCUUGGUUCCAUUCCUCCGCUGAGGCCUCUAUGGCUUGGUUGGACCUGCCAGUAGUUACACUACCGCCAGCACAGCCCUCAGCAUCCUCGGAAUGGUUAAGCCCCCCCCCCCACUUCAAGGUGUCACCUGCGGGGGGGGGGAUUAUUAUUAUUAUUAUUAUUAUUAUUUCUCAACUAUUUUAGGCAAUGUGCAGGAUAAUUGAACAUUUAUGGAAACGAUUUGGUAUUUUUAGAAGCAAGAAUAAUAGCAUUCUUUGUCCAAAAAUGUAAUAAAAUACUAUGCAUUAAGAACUACAUGUACAAUAAGAGUUGAGAUGACAUUCAGUUCAGUAAUUGGAAAACAAAGUAUAUUCAGAAGAUCAAUAUAACUAAAAUUAAAUGAAUUCACAAUUAAAAGGACAACACACAAAGCUAUCAUGUCUCAUUGCCAAUGCACACAAUUCCCUGAAAACAUCAUUACAUGGAUGGUGGAUGAAAAGAAAACAAUUAUUUAUAUGAGUUUUAAUUGCCUGUUUGAUUAUACUUGAAUAAAUUUACAUAAAACGUUGGUUUAGUAAACAUGAAUUCAUAGUGAGCAGAGAUUCAAACUCAGAUUCCCACACUCAAUUACAAAAAAACUGGCAUGCUUUUUCUCAAGAUCUUUGAAAAAAUGUUCAAUGUCCAAGUAAUUAAUUCUCCUAAGAUCCACAAACCUUGUAAUGUAUUAGCAAUAAGUGCUUACAGAUCAGAAUGCCAUUAAGGUAUAAUCCCAUAAACAAACAAUAUCAUGACCUUUUUAGUCUUCGUGUUUACUUUUCUUUAGCAGGCAAAUGGGACGUCAGACAUCUACAUAAAUGUAGUCUGUAUCAGGGCUUCUUAAACUUUUCCAACUUGUGACCCCUUUCCACCUAAGAAUACUUUUUAUGACCCCAGGUCAGGUAUAUAGGUAUAUAUAAGGUGGCAAUAUGUAGCAAUGAAAGUUUUAUUCUCUGCACAUAUUGCAUCUGUGGAUUCUCACCCAGCUGAGCUGUUCAGAGUGAUGAGGUGUUUAACCCAGGUGCCCUCCCCUCUGAACCCAUUAUUAGAACCUUCAGUACCUCACUGUGAUGCUUUCAACAACCACUUUGCAGAUAAAAUUGAUUGCAUAAAAGCCAACUUAGAUGCUGUCAUUGGAACAGAGGCCAAUCCAGCAAGUCUGUAAGUAGGAUUACACUGGAUCAGUUCCUUUUGGUGAGUACUGUUGAUGUGGACAAGCCGCUGGUGCAAGUAAGGAGGACAACCUGCUUUCUUGAUCCCUGUCCCUCUUGGCUGGUUGUCCAGGGAGGAGAUGCAAUUCAAUUUCAAAUACAACAAAAUAUUAACACAUCUCUCAGGGAGGUGGAUUUUCCAUCUUGCUUAAAAGAAACUAUAGUUAGACCACUGCUGAAGAAACCCUCCCUGGAUCCCCUGGACCUUAAUGAAUACAGACCAGUGUCUAACCCCCCUUUUUUAGGCAAGGUAUUGAGAAAGCAGUUGUCUUCCAACUUCAGGUAGUCUUGGAUAACACACACUUCCUUGACUCAUUUCAACCCGACUUCAGAGCAGGUUACAGAGAUGAGACUGUUGUGAUCGCCUUAGUGGAUGAUCUCUGUCUCAACACCGACAGGGGGAGUGUGUCCCUCUUGGUGUUUCUAGACCUUUCAGCGUCUUUUGAUUCCAUCAACCAUCGUAUCCUUCUGGAUACACCUUGUUGGGGGGGGGGGGGAGACUGAGUAUCGAAGGCACUGUGCUGCAAUGUUUCUGGUCAUACCUCUCAGGCAAGUUGGUGGUACUUGGGGAUCACUGCUUCUCAAAAAAGGAGCUGUUACGUGAUAUCCCACAAGGUGUCAUUCUAUACCCAGGACUCUUUAAUAUUUACAUGAAGCCACUGGGAGAGAUCAUCCAUAGGCAUGGGGCAGAGUGUUAUCAGUUGAUGACACCCAAAUAUAUUUCUCCAAGCCUUCAAAAAACAGCUUCAGCUAAGGAUAGCCUGUCUCCUCUGAAUGACUGCCUGGAGGAGGUAAUUGGGUUGGAUGAGGAAAAACAAAUUGAAACUGAAUCCAGACAAAACAGAGGUGCUUGCCAUCAAGGGUCCUAAUCUGGGGAUGGAGGUGUGUCAACCAGUCCUGGAUGAGGUUACACUCCCCCUGAAAGACACUGUUCGCAGCUUGGGAGUAUUCCUGGAUUCUUCUCUCCAAAUAUCAGCCCAGGUAAAUGCAAUGAUCAGUAGUACUUACUAUCAGCUUCAACUGAUCCACUAGUUGCGCUUCUUCCUAUAUUUGGAGGACCUGAAGAUGGUAGUGCAUGCGCUGGUAACCUCAAGGUUGGACUUCUGCAAUGUGCUCUACUUUGGGCUACCCUUGUACCAAGUUUAGAAACUCCAGCUGGUUCAAAAUACGGCAGCCAGACUGGUUACGGGAACAUCUAGGAGUGAGCAUAUUACACAGAUCCUAAAGUCAUUCCACUGGCUGCCAAUUAAUUUCUGGGCAAAAUACAAGGUGUUGGUUUUUGCCUUUAAAGCCCUACAUGGUUUGGGUCCAGGAUACCUUCAGGUGCGCCUUCUCCCAUACAAUCUGCCCCCACACAUAGUUUUUCUGGGGGCAGUUACUCCAACUAGUCACAACCUAACUGGCAAACACCACCCAGAGGUCCUUUUCAUCAGCCACUCCACUUUGUAAUGACUUGCAGUAGAGUUCCGACAGCUGGAUCAGCUGUCGGGAUUUAAGAUACAAGAGAAGACUUAUCUCUUCCAGCAGGCCUACCCAGACAGUUUUAAUGAUGAAUUUUAAACUCCACUGUAUGCCUUAUUUUUAUUUUGUAUAUUUUGAUAUGUAUUUUAUGGAGGAAUGUUUUAAAAUGAGUAUAUGUUUUAAUGUUUUAGUAAUGCUGUAAGCUGCCUCAAGCUGUGAGGAGAGGCGAGCAAGAAAUAAAGCUGUUGUUGUUGUUGUUGUUGUUUGAAAUUGGUAUAAAAAUCAAUGAUCUACUGAAAAUAAAUCAGCACUUACAGGGCUUGCUAAACAGGCUGAUUUUCCUUUCUGUGGAAUGUGCCUGAAGCAUUUUCUGCAGAGUCCACUGUAAACACAGUUUAUUAAAGUUACAGAACUGAAAAAUGCCUGUAAGAAACAAAGGACUAGGCAAACACUUGCCUUCAAUGUGAAAAGAUACAAAAAGACUCCGCUGGUACUAAAAACGGUUCAAAAGAUAAACCGGAUUAAACAGGAGUUUAAUCCGGGUUAAAUCAAAAAUGCUUACUUCAGCCUGGCAAUUUAAACAAACAAAAGUUGAUAAACAAAGAUUCAAUGUAACACAAAUAACUGGCAGCAGAUUCCUCUCUGCUACUCAAAAGCUACGAUUGAGUAACUAAAUUGUUACUCCUCCGUGCAACGAGCGAACUCCGGGUACAGACACAUCAAUCAGGGUAGCAGCGGUCAGCAGGGUCCCAAUCCGGUCCAAGGUCGAAAGCCUGGUAGAGACGUCUUUAGUUCACAAGUUUCACCGAUAGCCACAGAAGGGAUAGUCCGAGGUCGUAGUCAGUCAGUCAGUCCAGCGUCAAUCCAGAGUAGGCAAUUAAUGUCCGUCAAAAAGACGACGGAGGUCCAAGCUAUCAAGAUUAAACACAAGUUGCACAGGAAAAGCCCACACAGUUCCUCCCGCCGUCUAUGCCCAGUGUCCUUGGUAACUUACGUAUUCAGCAAACGAAUCACACCCGUCUUCAGGAAGUUCCCCAACAAGAGCCCAAGCGUUCGUCCAGAUUACCUUGCCCAACGCAAUUAGCCAUUGAUUCUAGACCCCAUUUUAUGCCAGUUCAUAACUCCUCAUCACUAUCAGCUGCUAUCCUAAUUCCAGGUGCCUCAUCAUCAUCAUCCUCAUCAGAACUAAAACACCUUUGACUACGCCCCACAGCAUCCCCAGCUGUGGAUCCCGUUCCAUCCCUCCAGCCCGUCCACGGGUCCGAUCCUGCAACCCGCCAGUCGCCUCCCAUGCUAUCAUUGCCGGUGACACCCAAAUCCUCCCUCACACGAGUCCAUUCCAUGUCAUCCUCCUCUGAGCUAACCAUCUCUUCCUCCAUUCCCUCGGUAAAACCCUCAAAGGAGUCUUCGUCUGUUGGUUCUGCAAAUAAGUCCCGGAGCCGUUUCCUUUCGCGCUCCUCAAGAGAGUCUGAGUCUCGAGGAGUCUUACGACCUCGUCUCCCAGUAUCGGAGCCAUAAGGCUCAACCAUAACACCCUGUUAGUUAAACACAUGUCACACAUAAACCAGUUAAAAUAUCAGCUUGUAAGAACAGAUAUGAUUACUAAAUAUUUAAACAAUAAAAUUAUAAUAGAUAAUUGAGAUUCAUAAUUUAAAAUAAUCUGGAUAAGCCCCUGGAAGAGACUGGUCUUUAGUGGUACUGUAAAUACAGAUUGUGUAGUUGUUGAAUCUCCUCUUCAUUCAGCAAUCUGUGGUCACCUGGAGAAAAAGAGUGCAUCUUCACUGUAGAAUUAAUGGCAUCACUUCAACUGCAAUGGCCUGCUGCUAUGGGAGUUGUAGUUUAACAAGCUCUUUUGCCUUUUCAGCCAGAGUGGUGGUACUUCUCCAAACUACAACUUCCAGGAUUCCAUAGGAUUGUGUAAUGGCAGUGAAAAUGGUGUCAAACUAUACUACCUCUAGUUGCACCCAAAGUCCUUUUGGAGUGAUAGUUGCUUUCUCGCCUAGUGCUAUUUGACUUAAAAUAAACAUCCCUCAGAAAAGCUAAGUAUUCAGGAUGGAUUAAGUGGAAGGAAAUGACCCCAUAGUUAGCCUGGAACCAAGUUAAGCAGGACCUUAAGGGUAAUAAGCAAUAAUUUGUACUUUAUGAGGAAACUAAUUCAUAUGUUUUGUAUUCUUGAUCAACACAUUCAUAAGAAUGAUACAAAUAAUAUACACUAGUAGAGCUAUAUUAUUUAUCUAGAUUGGCUUCACCUUCAAGUGCAACAUUUUUAUUCUAUGUGUUUAAAGAAAUGUGAUGAAGAAAAACACUUCUGUAAGAUAUGUAUAAAAGAGAUGAGAUUCCACAGGUGUAAUUCUUAUUCCUGCCUCGAUUCAAUUUUUAAAUUGUCUAAAGCAUUGUGCAGUUCAAAAGCAUGCUCAAAUUAUUGCCAUUUUGCAACCUUAAAGUGGCAGCAUUUACUUUGGUAGAGUGAUAGUAAUUAUUUUAUUAAGGAUAAAGCAAGGAGAUCUGAUGAAAGAGUGUCAUCACAUUAUCCAAACAUAUAUAUAGACAUACACACAUACAACAGUGUAUUAAGUGAUAGCAUUUCUUUUAUCCCUGUCAUCAGCAUGUUGGGUAAAGUCAAUAAAAAUACUAGACUUGAAUUAUGCAGAGAGAAUAUGGUUGUAUACAGUGAAUCAUUCACAUAAUAAUGUUUGAUCUUUAUAUUUUGGUAAGACCUGUGGAAAAGUUAGAGGGGAAAGAACAUUAGAAAAUUCUGACAUAUCUUCUCUUCAUAUUCUUGAUGCCAGAGAGUUACUGUGAACAUAAUACCAAAUACCAGUCCUGUAUACUUUCCAAUGAAAUAUGUCUCAGGUUGGUUAACACCGUUGUGACCAUGAAAUGUGUUAAGUAAAUUUGAAUGGGUUAAGACAGUGGUUCUCAACUUGUGAGUCCCCAGAUGUUUUGACCUUUAACUCCCAGAAAUCCUAACACCUGGUAAACUGGCUGGGAUUUCUGGGAGUUGUAGACCUAAACACCCGGGCACCCACAGGUUGGGAACCAUUAGGUUAAGAGAAAAGAGAAGGGAGGAGGGGGCAGGGAAGGAGUGAGGGAAUGUGGAUGAGAUAAGAUGUUACUAAAGCGUCACUAAGGCAAAAGGUGCAAAAUUUGUAUCUUGACAUGACUGCAAAGGAUUUUCAACCAUUUGUGCAACCAAUUGGGGCAGCAAUUGAGAAUAGGCCCUCAACCCAUACACACCCUUAUUUUAAUUUAAAAAGAAAUUAAUGCUGAGAUGAAUAGGCCAUAGCCACACUCAUUAACAUAUUGAGAAUGAAUGGUCUAUGUCAGUAUUUUUAUGGUGUUUGAGUGAAAAUAGCAUAUAGUUUAAACAGCAUGUUUCAGUAUUUCAUGAGUUAAUACGAUAGAGGUGUGCAACGUGUUGAGGGUUGUAGAUAAGUACCGUGUUUCCCCGAAAAUAAGACAGUGUCUUAUAUUAAUUUUUGUUCCCAAAGAUGCUCUAGGUCUUAUUUUCAGGGGAUGUCUUAUUUUUCCAUGAAGAAGAAUUAACAUUUAUUGUUGAACAAAAAAAUGAACAUUUAUUAUAUACUGUACAGUAGUUGUCAUCACAAAUCAGUAUAAUCAGACCAACUAUGAAUCCUAUCAGGAAUUUCUUGUUACUACCAUUAUUUCCAUGUACAAUAAUCUAUGGUAUGUACAUUUACCAAUCCUGUAGGCUCUGGUGUUCUAUUUGGCGGAUAUGCUUCCAAACAAAAACUCGUGGACAACAAGUUAAACAUGAGCCAACAAUGUGAUGCGGCAGCUAAAAAAGCCGACGGGAUUCAGGCCUGCAUCAAUAGGGGUAUAGCGUCUAGAUCCAGGGAAGUCAUGCUCCCCCUCUAUUCUGCCUUGGUCAGACCACACCUGGAAUACUGUGUCCAAUUUUGGGCACCGCAGUUGAAGGGAGAUGUUGACAAGCUGGAAAGCGUCCAGAGGAGGGCGACUAAAAUGAUUAAGGGUCUGGAGAACAAGCCCUAUGAGGAGCGGCUUAAAGAGCUGGGCAUGUUUAGCCUGCAGAAGAGAAGGCUGAGAGGAGACAUGAUAGCCAUGUACAAAUAUGUGAGGGGAAGUCAUAGGGAGGAGGGAGCAAGCUUGUUUUCUGCUGCCCUGCAGACUAGGACACGGAACAAUGGCUUCAAACUACAGGAAAGGAGAUUCCACCUGAACAUCAGGAAGAACUUCCUCACUGUGAGACCUGUUCGACAGUGGAACUCUCUGACCCGGGCCGUGGUGGAGGCUCCUUCUUUGGAGGCUUUUAAGCAGAAGCUGGAUGGCCAUCUGUCGGGGGUGCUUUGAAUGCGAUUUCCUGCUUCUUGGCAGGGGGUUGGACUGGAUGGCCCAUGAGGUCUCUUCCAACUCUACUAUUCUAUGAUUCUAUGAUUCUAUGCUAGGUUUUACUUUCGGGGGAGGCCUUAUAUUUAGCAAUUCAGCAAAACCUCUACUAGGUCUUAUUUUCUGGGGAUGUCUUAUUUUAGGGGAAACAGGGUAGGUGUUAUGGUUGAGCCUUAUGGCUCCGAUACUGGGAGACGUGGUCGUAAGACUCCUCGAGAGUCAGACUCUCUUGAGGAGCGAGAAAGGAAACGGCUGCGGGACUUAUUUGCAGAACCAACAGACGAAGACUCCUUUGAGGGUUUUACCGAGGGAAUGGAGGAAGAGGUGGUUAGCUCAGAGGAGGAUGACAUGGAAUGGACUCGUGUGAGGGAGGAUUUAGUUCUCACCGGCAAUGAUAGUGUGGGAGGCGACUGGCGGGUUGCAGGAUCGGACCCGUGGACGAGUUGGAGGGAUGGAACGGGAUCCACAGCUGGGGAUGCUGUGGGGCGUAGUCAAAGGUGUUUUAGCUCUGAUGAGGAGGAUGAUGAUGAGGCACCUGGAAUUAGGGUAACAGCUGACAGCGAUGAGGAGUUGUAAACUGGCAUAAAAUGGGGUUGUGAAUCCAGGGUUAAUUGCGUUGGGCAAGGUAAUCUGGACGAACGCUUGGGCUCUUGUUGGGAAUUUCCUGAAGACGGGUGUGUUUCGCUUGCUGAAUACCUUGGACCUCCGUCGUCUUCUUGACGGACAUUAAUUGCCUACUCUGGAUUGACGCUGGAUGGACUGACUGACUACGACCUCGGACUACCCCUUCUGUGGCUUUCGGUGGAAUUGGUGAAUUAAAGACGUCUGUACCUGGCUUUCGACCUCGGACCGGACUGGGACCCUGCUGACCGUUGCUACCCUGAUUGAUGUGCCUGGAUCCGGAUCCCGUUUGUUGCACGGAGGAGUAACAACCUAGUUACUCAUUUGCAGCUUUCGAGUAGCAGAGAGGAAUCUGCUGUCAGCUUUUUUUAUGUUUCUUUGAGUCUUUGUUUAUCAACUUUUGUUUGUUUAAAUUGCCGGGCUGAAGUAAGCAUUUUCUGUUUAACCCGGAUUAAACUCCCGUUUAAUCCGGUUUAUCUUUUGAACCGCUUUAGGUAUCAGCGGAGUCUUUUUUGUGUAUCUUUUACACUGAAGGCAAGUGUUUGCCUAGUCCUUUGUUUCAUACGGGCACUUUUUAGUUCUGUAACUUUAAUAAACUGUGUUGAACUUUA